CCUACGGGUGGCAGCAGUGGGGAAUAUUGCACAAUGGGGGAAACCCUGAUGCAGCGACGCCGCGUGAAGGAAGAAGUAUUUCGGUAUGUAAACUUCUAUCAGCAGGGAAGAAAAUGACGGUAACUGACGGAGAAGCCCCGGCUAACUACGGGGCAGCAGCCGCGGGAAUACGUAGGGGGCAAGCGUUAUCCGGAUUUACUGGGUGUAAAGGGAGCGUAGGCGGCGAUGCAAGUCAGCAGUGAAAGCCCAGGGCUCAACUCGGGGACUGCAUUUGAAACUGGGUUGCUAGAGUGCAGUAGAGGUAAGUGGAAUUCCUAGUGUAGCGGUGAAAUGCGUAGAUAUUAGGAGGAACACCAGUGGCGAAGGCGGCUUACUGGACUGUAAAUGACGCUGAGGCUCGAAAGUGUGGGGAGCAAACAGGAUUAGAUACCCGAGUAGUC
rnacentral:rRNA from 1 species